UUUUUUUUUGUGCGAUUCGUUGCAUUCUAGUAGCUCUCUUUCAUGUUCAUCCUUAUUUGUGCUUCAUUAUUUUUCUAUCUUGAGCUGGGUUUUGUGUUUGUGCCUGAUGGGUUCUAUAAUGCAGCACCAUAAUUUAAAGCUUCCUUUCUUAUUUUGGUUUGGGUUUCGUUGGAAUUUUGAGCCUUUGUGCACCCUCUACUCCUGGCCUUCUGUUUUUCAGCCUUUCUAGUAGUUCUCUUUUCACUUACACUUGCUGACCUUCUGUAUUCAGUUAUUGAUUUCACCUGUAUUUCAAUUUUGGUUUGCAGCUCACCAUGAGCUAUUCAAACCUCCGGGAUAUAUGUAGUGAUGAUGAAACUGGUGAGCCAAACUCAGUGUCCCCAGCGCUAACUUCUCCCAGAAAUUUCGAAAAGCUAUCUGGAAACUACAAAUGGCACAGGAAGAGGGGUCCAGAAAUGAGGCGUGUGAAAUGGGGGCCAAGAGGAUGGUGGGAUUGUUUGGGGGAUUUAUGUCAGGGACAGUGCUGUUGGGGAGAAGCUGAGCAAGAGGCCUCGAGUUAUGAUCAAUUGACAGAAGCCUUUGCGGAGAUGAGCGACUACUCAAGUGCUCCUAGCGCACCUCAGAGGCUCAGAUACCAAUUGUAAUAUGAUUGAGUUUGAGUCAAGAGUGUUAUAUGGGGGAGUUUGAUAUUGAUCAGAACCCGCCUAUUCCUCUGCGGGAUGUGCUUGGGAAGGUGAAGCCUUUCUUGAUGGCAUAUGAGGGUAUUCAAAUUCAAGACGAGUGGGGAGGUAUAGUUUUCCUUGCUCUUGCAUUAUAUUUGUCAUCUGAUUUGGCUAAUGUGUGACGUAAUUCUCUGUCUCCAUCUUUAUGUCACACUAAUGUUACCAUAGGAGUUUCCUAGUAGUUGAUUUUGUAAAGCCAUAGGAGUUUGUAGUAGUUAAUCAUUACAUGAGGAAUUUAGAUGUUUCGGAGCUGAUCAAAAAGCUGUAUUGUGAUUUUCUAAUACAUUUUUUUCUAUGACACUUACUUCCUCUUUGUUGAUAUAACCAUAUGCCAUAUAUAGUUUAUUUAGUCUCAAAAUUUAAUGAAGAGCUACUUAGAAUGGAAACAUACAGAUGUUUAUGUAUGUAUGUUUGUAUAGGAGCUCUUAGAAUAUGUAUAUGUAUAUGUUUGCUGCGGUCAGCAUCUGUCUGUAACUAUGAUCUCUCAUCUGUAUAAUGCAAUGCUGAGUAUUCUGGAAUACUGAGAUUGAGUAUAGUGAGGAACUAGGCCAGAUACCAUGUUCUUUUUGAAUGGAGGAUUUCUGUCUCUCCUUUAGUUUUAGUGUUCGUGUUUUUUAAGCCCUUUGGUUGUAGUUUGACCGCUUUGGCCGGUGGUUCUCGGCUCAUCCGCUCUGGCUGACGGCUGAAUCCAUCAAUCAGGUUUUGCUUCUUUUUUGAAUCAAUUGUUUGUUGAUCCACUCGUCUCGUUAGAUUGAUUGUUGAAAAAACUAUUGGAGUUUGUUUGAUUUUUUAUUUCUAGUUUUUGAAUCCAGAUCCACUUCCUCUGUCUGGUAUUUUGCUGCUCUUAAUUUCAUUCGGAUGCCCUUGUAACCGAUUUUAUGUUGGAAUUAAAAAAAAAAAAUUCCCCUUGUAGAAUAGUGUGGCUAUCUAGUUAUAUUCUAUGUUUAAUAAUAAUAAUUAAAAAAAAAAACUCGAUUUAGGAAUUCUGGUAGAAAGAGAGGCUUUCCUUUUCCUCGUUGAGCUAGGGCUAUAGCUAGCAUAUAUACAUCGCUACUUUAGUGAUCAUCCGUAGGAAUUCUCCUUCAACCAUGCCGGCAACGCCCGAGAAGAACCUUUUUUUUAGCAGGGUUUUGCAAAGAGAAACAGUUGAACCUGCACCACCUGGUCAGGAAGACUGGCUGGCUUCCGUUCAAGUUUUAUUUCCUUGAACAUACCCGCUGCUGGUAUGAUCAUCCAAUGGACUAUACUUGUGUAGCCGCCACAUCGGAUACUACAUUUGGUUCAAUCCUUCACUCUGGUAGAAACAACAGAUGGGGGAACACACCAGCUAUGAUUCGCCACCUUUCGAGGAUUGGUAUUCCACAAGAGGAGCAACCAUCUAUCCUCGACAAACUAUUUGGAGUGCUUUGAACGGCCUUCCCUGAGGGCCGCAUUCUUGUCUUGAUAGCUCAAGUGACUGUGUAUUUGUUGGGUAGUUUUGAUGAUCUUGAUACCAUUUCUGCACUUACUUGUUAUUCUCCCAAUUUUAGCUUUGGCUUAAAAUAUUAGGUUCCUGAUGAAGUGCGCUGUGAAACACAUACAAUAAGUGGUGUUGACUAUCUUAUGGAACAGCUACCCCCAUUGAUAGGCUUUUAUUGGAAUCCUUUGAAGCUCUUCCUAGGAUCGUCAGGUUUAUCCCUGCAACUAGAUCAUCAAUUAAGAGUUUGCAGAAAGUGAGACUUGAUAGUUUAGAAGUAGCUACUAUCAAACAGAAUCCGUCAUGUAAUAUAUGUAGGGAUGACUUUGCAGAAGGCAGUGCUGAACUGGUUAUUCCUUUGCCUUGCGCUCAGUGUUAUCACACAGAUUGCAUCAUCUCGUGGCUGGAGGUGAAUCAUUUGUGCCUGUUGUGUCGAUAUGCAAUGCCAAAUGUGGAAGAGGGCCAGCCU